GACGAACGCUGGCGGCGUGCCUAACACAUGCAAGUCGAGCGGAGACAAUAGCAAUAUUGUCUUAGCGGCGGACGGGUGAGUAACGCGUGGGCAACCUGCCUUUCACAGGGGGAUAACACUGGGAAACUAGUGCUAAUACCGCAUAACGUAUCGGGAUGGCAUCAUUCUGAUACCAAAGGAGCAAUCCGGUGAAAGAUGGGCCCGCGUCCGAUUAGCUAGUUGGUGGGGUAGAGGCCUACCAAGGCGACGAUCGGUAGCCGAACUGAGAGGUUGAUCGGCCACAUUGGGACUGAGAUACGGCCCAGACUCCUACGGGAGGCAGCAGUGGGGAAUAUUGCGCAAUGGGGGAAACCCUGACGCAGCAACGCCGCGUGAAGGAUGAAGGUUUUCGGAUUGUAAACUUCUUUGAUGAGGGACGAAAUAAAUGACGGUACCUCAAAAACAAGCCACGGCUAACUACGUGCCAGCCGCCGCGGUAAAAC
rnacentral:rRNA from 1 species